UUCUAGGCCUAUGUGACCUGCAAACAUGAAGAUGACAAGCUAAUUGCCUUUGAGAGAGCAAAUCUUGUGUUUAUCUUCAAUUUCCAUCCUAAUAAAAGUUAUGCAGACUAUAGAAUUGGCGUGACCAACCCAGGAAAAUACAAGAUAGUUCUUGAUUCAGAUUCUAGUGAAUUUGGUGGCCAUAGCCGUCUUGAUCAUUCUACAGAAUUCUUCACACAAAAUUUUCAAUGGCACGAACGCAUGUUUUCCAUACAGAUAUACAUUCCAUGUCGUGUAGCCUUGGUCCUAGCAGCAGAGGAACAGUGAACUCAAGUUAUCAAUGAUCUUCCAAGAAAAGAAUUAUCUUGCACAUCCUACACUGGAAAAAUCGCUUAUAUAAAAAUCAUAUAGCUGUAUACUCUAUAUAGAUUUUGGAUUGUUGAUGGUAUACUGUAAUUGAUUUAUGGAGUUUAGUUUAAAUUGUUUUCAUAAAAGGUAAAAGCUUGGUUGAGAUUUACAUUAUCAUAUAGACUGACUGUAUUGAUGAUCAUCUCCACAUGUACAUCUCCACUUUGAGACUUUGACAGUUGAUUCCAUGGAGUGGUGGCUCUGCCAACAGGGGUCUAAGAAGUCCAACAGGGGGUCCGAACCAAGGGGAUGCCCAAAGGGUUCUGGUGGGAUCAAGGAAGAGAGAGUUCAUGGUUUAGGAUGGUAAAAAUGUGCUUUAAUACCAAACAUAAGGAACUACAAAAAUUAAAAGUUUGAUAGGAGUGAUACAAGUAUGCUGUGGUGUGUUUCAGUUAAAACCAUUAUCAUGCCAACCACUCCGAUUCCACGCCAACACAUUUAUCAGACAUUCCGACCACU